rfam:Triticum urartu cultivar G1812 contig638920, whole genome shotgun sequence.
GCCAUUGGACGAGGACGAGGUGAUCUCCUACAUCAUCGUCGGUCUUCACAAGGAAUACCAGCCCCCCUGGUGUCGACUCUCGAUGCCCGCACUGAGGCGGUCUCCCCGAUGAUCUCUUUGCUCAAAUGAGUAAUUUUGAUC